ACUGUCUGCCUGUCUUCUCAUUUCAGAAAGAUGAUAUCUCAGAUGUUCCUGGUGGGGGCGCUGUUGUGCACUGUGCUGCUCCCAGGUCUGCUGGAUGCCUCCUCACUGAUGAAGCUCAUUAAACCACAAGCCCCUCAGGUGAAG